rnacentral:rRNA from 1 species
CACGUAGGGUGCGAGCGUUGUCCGGAAUUAUUGGGCGUAAAGAGCUCGUAGGCGGUGUGUCGCGUCGGCCGUGAAAACCUGCAGCUUAACUGUGGGCUUGCGGUCGAUACGGGCAUCACUGGAGUUCGGCAGGGGAGACUGGAAUUCCUGGUGUAGCGGUGAAAUGCGCAGAUAUCAGGAGGAACAGCCGGUGGCGAAGG